AGGCCACAGCCGCUCCCUCGCUCUGCUGGGGCCUCCGGACGCGCUUCCCACGCGGGUCUCUGGAACACUCGGUCCGAACGCACGCCUGCUUGCACUCACACUGCGGUUCACACCCGGAGGCGCUCUCGCACUCACACUGCCGCUCACGCGUGCUCACACUCCCCCACGCGCGCUCCGCUCCGGCUCCAGCCCCGCGCCCAGCGAAGGCGCAGGCACUGCUGCCGAGAGCGCCGAGGGGCCCCGCGGCCUUCCCAUGGCGGACCUGAGCUUCAUCGAAGAUACCGUCGCCUUCCCCGAGAAGGAAGAGGAUGAGGAGGAAGAAGAGGAGGGUGUGGAGUGGGGCUACGAGGAAGGUGUUGAGUGGGGUCUGGUGUUUCCUGAUGCUAAUGGGGAAUACCAGUCUCCUAUUAACCUAAACUCAAGAGAGGCUAGGUAUGACCCCUCGCUGUUGGAUGUCCGCCUCUCCCCAAAUUAUGUGGUGUGCCGAGACUGUGAAGUCACCAAUGAUGGACAUACCAUUCAGGUUAUCCUGAAGUCAAAAUCAGUUCUUUCGGGAGGACCAUUGCCUCAAGGGCAUGAAUUUGAACUGUACGAAGUGAGAUUUCACUGGGGAAGAGAAAACCAGCGUGGUUCUGAGCACACGGUUAAUUUCAAAGCUUUUCCCAUGGAGCUCCAUCUGAUCCACUGGAACUCCACUCUGUUUGGCAGCAUUGAUGAGGCUGUGGGGAAGCCGCACGGAAUCGCCAUCAUUGCUCUGUUUGUUCAGAUAGGAAAGGAACAUGUUGGCUUGAAGGCUGUGACUGAAAUCCUCCAAGAUAUUCAGUAUAAGGGGAAGUCCAAAACAAUACCUUGCUUUAAUCCUAACACUUUAUUACCAGACCCUCUGCUGCGGGAUUACUGGGUGUAUGAAGGCUCUCUCACCAUCCCACCUUGCAGUGAAGGUGUCACCUGGAUAUUAUUCCGAUACCCUUUAACUAUAUCCCAGCUACAGGUGUGGAGAAUGGAAAGUCUGGACGUAAAGUGGGGAUGCCGGUUAUUUCUAUAGAAGAAUUUCGAAGGCUGAGGACACAUGUUAAGGGGGCAGAACUUGUGGAAGGCUGUGAUGGGAUUUUGGGAGACAACUUUCGGCCCACUCAGCCUCUUAGUGACAGAGUCAUUAGAGCUGCAUUUCAGUAGCCAAAGAGGACAGGAACAAGUCUGUCUUCAUGAGGGAGGAAGACAAUGGUCCUAUAAUGCCCUUGGAUAAGAAAAGGAAACUUUUGAGCUGCACCUUCAGUUUAUCCUCAAAGCCUGCGUUGUUUGUCUUCAUCUAAUCCAGCUUUGAUGGACAUCUGUGAUGGUUGCCUGUACACUUGCUGAAAUGAAAUAUUAGAAAUGGCUGUAUAUUCCAAAGAAACCCUAUAUUAUAUAUCCACAUUACUGCUGCUAGGAUUCAUAGUUGCACAUACUGUUUAUUGCUUAUGUGUAGAAGGAAUGAAACUAGUUUCCAGAGUUGUUAUUAAUAUGAAUAUAUAUCAUGUGUUAAUAUUGAGAAAGGAAAAAUACAUUCCCGGUGUUAGUAGUUCUUCAUUUCCUGUCUCCAACAGAAAAUUCACUCAUUUUAGAACUAGUGUAAUUCUUGAUAAUAAAAUAAGAGUUUUGAUUAAGAACAGCAUAGAGCUUCAAAAUGCAAAGUGAAUGAUUAGUAAAAUUAUGUCUCAUUUUAUUUUUUCAGCACCCAUACCACAAUUAAUAUUAGGCUGGAUUGCCAUGGGAAACAUUUUUUGGCAUUAAUGCAGCAACAUAAUACUCACUUUAGGUAUUACUACAUAGUUGAAGGAUUUAACUGAAUGUAUGGAUCAAAUUUAUUUAUUUGACAUAUUCGAAGCUGUGGUUUAAUAGGAAUUUGAGAAAGGUGUAAGAAAUAGGAUAAAAAGAAGGUCAGCACCAUGUACCAGGAAUAGCUUUACUUUCCAUACAUAGAAAUAUAAAUUUAGUGGUAUCCUAUAUUACUUUAGUGUCGUACGCUUUGUAAGACUUAAAUAUUUUAUUCUAUUGAUUCCACUACUUUGGUAUGUUAAGACAUUUCUUUAAAGAUGACCAACAAUAUCCUUAUUUUAGGUGCCACUAGCAGAUGUAAGCGUAUACUUAGUUGCCGUUAGAUGUGACAGAAUGAGAUAAUUUAUGUAAAGCAGUAGAGUACCUGGCACAAAGCAAACAAUAAAUAUUAUUGUUAUUGUUGUUAUAAUUGUAAAAUGAAUGACUUCAAAAACAUAGUCCCAGUUUGGAGGGAUUUUGUGAUGCAGAAUAUCUAAGUCAUAGAAAUAGAAGACAGGUGGAAUAAGUAUAUGUUCAGAGUUUUUAGAUGUGUUGAGUAGAGACGGUAAUAAUGGAAGCAUUAAAUACAAAUGAAAAUCACACCAGAUAUCCCUGAAAUUCAAGCAAAGAAAGUUCAUCAUGUAUUCUUGGGCAGCAAGAGAAAGGACUAGGGUUAUGGCAAUGUGUGGAAAAGUUGAGGCUUGCUAAGGGUUGAGAUCUGUUGGUAGCCCUGGAUCACAUGGGGUCAGCACCAGGCAGUGCCUCUGAAAGCGGAGAGAGGUCCUGGACUUCCCUUGUGUAUAACAGUUCCUAGUGUCCAACAAUGAGGAAACGGUGAAGCAUGGUUACAAAACUGUGACAAAAAUAUUUACAUCUAGCACUGUUACCACUCACAUGCCAAACAUUGGCUGCACACGUGCAGCCUUAUUUGUAAUUAACAUCAAAAGACUAGAUCUGAAGCCUUCCAUAAAUGAGAGGCCAUUCAUAUGGCAUUCCUGGAACAAAACACUGCACAGGUACCAGCCUCUCCACUCCUGACCGGGUUGGUGCUGAACAGUCAGGGAUUGUUCUUGAACUAGACUUCUGAUGCUUCUUGCAAUCUUCUUUCAUCUUUCCCUGAAAUACACAAAAUAAACAAAUACAAUAACAAAUAGUAAUUAAAUGACUUUCAGGAUAACAUCUAGUUGUUCAGACUUCACCCUUCACAGGUGUGUGUGUAUGUGUGUUUAUGUCUGUAUAUUGAAGCAAUUUGAAUUUAUUUACUGUAUAUUUUCUGAGUAAAAGACUGAAAUGAACUACUUGGUUCAGAUCAUGGUGUCCAUUGGUGACAUUGUUUGGAGGCAUAAUAUUCUUUAUAUGGAAAAUCCUUUAAUUCCACAGUUAGUUACCUCAGAUUCAGAAUAUGAAUACUGUUUAUAAUACGCUUUUGUAGGAAUGAAUUUGAAAGGUAGUUUGUCAGUAAACGAAAGCACAACAACUAAUCUCAAAUCUGUUUUGAUGGUGUGAUAGGAAAGAAAGUAAAACCUAUGUGAUGGACCCUGUAAUUGGGGCAGGAAUCUCCCAAAGAAAAAGGGGAGAAUUAAUGACAAAUGUCAUAGAUCUUGAAAUUUAAUUUAGGGUGCAUUUUGUUUAUGAAACAAUUUAAUAAGGCAACAAAGUGAAAUGAUUUUUCAUGUAGCUUAUACACAUGUAAGUGCCUCUGAUUCAUGGUAACUAACGUACCUGAUGGUGUGUAAAGUAAUACUGUUGUCAGAAGGUUUGCCAAUUAAGAUAAUUUGAGUUUACUCUUUUUUUGUUGGUUAGUUUAGCUGAAGGCUUGUCAAUUUUAUUGAUUUUUUUCAAGGAGCCAAAGUGGAUUUUGGGGUUUUCUCUAUUGUGUUUGUAUUCUCUAUGUCAUCAAACUCUGCUCAAAUCUUACAAAAUAGUAAGAUUAGUAAGAAAGCAGACUAACUUCUGCUUGCUUUGUAUUUAGUUUGUGUCUUUUCCAGUAUUUUAAGGUGGAAGGUUAGGUUAUUGAUUUGAAUUCUUUUUUGAAUAAAGGCAUUAACAGUUAUAAAUUUUCCUCUGAGCAUUGCUUUAGCUGCAUCCAAUAAGUUUUGGUAUGCCAUGUUUUUGUUUUCAUUCAUCUCAAGGUAUUAGAAAAUACUUUGCCUUUUAAUUUCUUUUUGAUGCAAUGGUUAUUUAGGAGUACAUUGUUUAAUUUCCACAUAUUUAUGAAUUCCCAAAUUUGUUAUUGAUUUAUAAUUUUUUUCUGUUGUGAUCAGAAAACAUACUUUAUAUGAUCUCAGUCUUAAAUUUAUCGAGGUUUGCUUUCUGGCUUAGCAUAUGGUUUAUCCUGCAGAAUAAUCCAUGUGUACUUAAGAGUAUGUAUUGUACUGUUGUUGGAUGCUGUGUUCUAUAGAUAGAUGGCUGUUAGGUCUAUAGUGUUGGCCUGUUGUGUUGUUCAAGUCUUCUAUUUCCUUGUUGAUAUGCCUAUUUCUGUCUAUUAUGAAAGUAGUGUAUUGAAUUCUCUGACUGUUGUUGAAUAAUCUCUUCCUUCAAUUCUGUCAGUUUUUUUCUACAUUCAUUUUGGGACUUUUGUCCUUCUUUAUCUCUAGUAACAUUUUUUUAUUUUAAUAUAUACUUUGUCAGAUAUUAAUAUAGCUGCCCCAGCUUUCUUAUAGUUGCUAUUUGUAUGAUGUAUCUUUUUUCAUCUUUUCACUUUCAACUUAUUUAUAUUUUUGAAUCUAAAGUGUGUCUCCAACUUAUAGUUGGAUCUUGUUUUUUUUUGAAAUCCAGUCUGACAGUCUCUCUGCCUUUUGGUUGGAUUAUUUAACCCAUUUGCACUUAAUGUUAUUGUUUAUAUAGUUGGAUUUGUGUCUGCCAUUUUACUUUUUGUUUUCCACAUGUCUUGUAUCUUUUUGUUGUUGUUCCUUUAUUCCUCCUCUAUUACUUUUUUUUUAAUUAGGUGAAUAUUUUCUAGUAUAUUUCAAUUGCUUUAAUUAUUUUUUUCAUUUUUUUGAGUAUAUUUUCACAGUGGUUGCUAAAGGGCAUAUCAUAUACUUGUUAAUUUAUCAGAAUCUAUUUCAGAUUUAUAAUAACUUUAUUACAGUGAGUUAUUUAGUUACUACUAAAUAGCUCUGAACUCUCUUCUCCCUUUUUGUGCUAUUAUUGUUAUACAUAUUACAUCUAUACAUGCUGUAAGCCCAACAAUACAUUGUUAUAUUUUUCCUGUAAUUGUAUGUAUAUUAAGCAAGCAGAGACUUGAGAACAAAUUAUAUUUAUAGAGUUUCUUCUAGUAAGCUUUUAAUUUACCAUUUCUGGUUAUGUUCAUUUUGUCUUGUAAAUUUGAGUCACCAUCUGGUGUGAUUUCUUACUCCAGUACUACUUUGUUCUUAUUUACCUCCUUUGUGUUGUCAUUGUCAAAUAUGUCACAUUUGUAUAUGUUCUGGGUCUAAAGCAUAAUUACAUGAUAUUUUAUACAAUUGCUCUUUAAGAGAAGGAAGAAAUGCAUUUAUACUGUCUUUCAUAAUUACAUAAUUACAUUUACCAGUGCCCUUUUUUUUUUGGAAUGGAUUCAAAUUAGUAUCUGGGGUCACUUCAUUCCAGGCAGAAGUCCUUUUUUUAAUAUAUUUUUAUAUAAGGCAAAUCUGAUAGGGACAAAUCUUUAGUUUUUGUUUAUAUGGGCUAUCUUUAUUUUACCUUCUUUGAGAUAGUUUUGCUAAAUAUAAAACUCCUGGUGAAAAGUUUCUGUUUCUGUUUUUGUUUUCUCAGCAUCUGCUGAGAUGCCAGCUAUAAAGCUUAAUGAGGUUUCCUUCUACAAGACAAAUCGUUUUUCUGUUUCUGCUUUCAAAAACAAAUGGUUUCCCCCCUGCCCCAGAUUUCGUACUAUGAUGUAUCUGGGUGUGAGUCUGUAUUUAUUCUGCUUGGAAUUUGUUGAGCUUCUUGGGUAUGUAGAUGAAUGAUUUUUUUUAAGAAAAAUAUUAAAUUUGGGAUGUUUGAGCCAUUA